GACGAACGCUGGCGGCGCGCUUAACACAUGCAAGUCGAACGGGAUUUGAGAAGAUUUUCGGAUCAUUUUAAAUCUAGUGGCAAACGGGUGAGUAACACGUGGACAACCUGCCUUUGAGAUGGGGACAACAUCCCGAAAGGGGUGCUAAUACCGAAUAAGGUUUACUGAUCGCAUGAUCGGUAAAUGAAAGAUGGCCUCUAUUUAUAAGCUAUCACUCGAAGAGGGGUCCGCGCCUGAUUAGCUAGUUGGAGGGGUAACGGCCGACCAAGGCAACGAUCAGUAGCCGGUCUGAGAGGACGAACGGCCACACUGGGACUGAGACACGGCCCAGACUCCUACGGGAGGCAGCAGUGGGGAAUCUUCCGCAAUGGACGAAAGUCUGACGGAGCGACGCCGCGUGUGUGAAGAAGGUCUUCGGAUUGUAAAGCACUUUAAGUGUGAGG
rnacentral:rRNA from 1 species